rfam:Lachancea nothofagi CBS 11611 genome assembly, chromosome: F
GGUUGUUUGGCCGAGCGGUCUAAGGCGCCUGAUUCAAGAAGUUUUCUUCUUAACGCUGUUAAACAGUGGAAUCCUCAGGUAUCGUAAGAUGCAAGAGUUCGAAUCUCUUAGCAACCA